UCUUUUCUUGGUAAUGUGUUUGCAAACUCUGAACAAAAAUGAAAAUAAAGAAGUAUAAAUUACUUCUGCUGUCUGAUCCAAGCGUGUAGAAAAGCUGCAGGUGAAGCUACAAGCUAAAAUUCACGAGAGGGUCAGAACUGAUUUUAUAGGUAAUUAGCAGGGGAAGUUGUGUUGUCACCACACUACACACUGGCUAGGAAAAGAGAAGUGUCUCUGUGUCCUUUACUCAUUCACUGCUUGGUCUUGCUCAGACGUGUUCUCUGAGGCUGGAAUAUCAGGAUCUAUUUGCCAACAUCUCCUGCCUGUUUUCUGUGUACAGGCAGAAGAGGACUGUCAAGAUCUCUGCUCUUCUCCUUUGGAGUGCUGGCAGCAAAGGAAGACAAUUGGGCUGCAGAACUACAGAGCUGAAUAUGCUUGUUGCCUCCUUCACCACCAGGAACAAAAUAGAAUCAGAGAUGGACCACAUCAGAAGACAAAUACCAGUACUGAAGACUGGAGUGACAAGUAUAACAGAAGAGAGAUGAGGUGGAAGGCCUAAAUAUAAAACACAGGACAGACACUGACUUUGGCAUUGAAGGUUUUGACCAUCCUCAUCUGACUCAGGAUUUGCUCAAUGAGUUCUAUUAGCUUAGUGCUUUAUGUAGCAGGCUUGUGCAUAUUGUUGCAUUUUAAGCUUCCAACACUGUCACGUCUAUGUCUGACAAAGAGUAAGCAAUUAAAGACUGACAAGUGUGGAAUUUAUUAUGGCCCUUUGCAUGAACUGACUCUAAGGUCCCUCUUAGAUUUCCAGGAAAUAAAGUUACCAAUGCACAUGGUGGUCUAACACCAGCUUUGAAAGCUGGUAGUUAACUGCAGCUGUAGAAUGUGAAUUAUCGACGCCUUCCUUAAUAUUUAGCAUUCUGCUUUUGGUCUAUGUCUUUCUUCUCAAUGUCAACAUUGUAUUUGUAUAAACAUCUUAGAUAUGACUAUUUCAUACAGCAGAGUCUCAGAUGGGCAUUUUCAAAGUGAAAUGGCUCAUCAAAGACAUCUUAUGAGAUAGUGUCUCCCAGCAAAAGAAUAUGGAGUCAAUGAGAAUCUUCCUUAAACUGUGGGAGACUUCUGAGUGAGAUCAUAUUCAGUUUAGGGUAAAAGCAUUCAUGAAAAUGACUACACUUUAAAGUGUUUUUGUGAACAAUGGUUUUGUGUCCUCUGUCAUGCUCCACACUUGUUUAUGAUAUAAAAACAGGCAGAUUUUCACAGAUAAAGUUUUUAAUCCAAAAUAUGCUUGUAGAGACACAAAUGUCAAAAAAAGACAUAUACCAACAAAGUCAUAAAAGAAUAAAAUAAACUCCCAACAUUACA
rnacentral:lncRNA from 1 species